rnacentral:lncRNA from 1 species
GCAGACUGUAUACUAUGCCAAAGCAUUCUCUAAAGACUUGCCAAGAGCUGUAGAAAUUCUUGCUGAUAUAAUACAAAACAGCACAUUGGGAGAAGCAGAGAUUGAACGUGAGCGUGGAGUAAUCCUUAGAGAGAUGCAGGAAGUUGAAACCAAUUUACAAGAAGUUGUUUUUGAUUAUCUUCAUGCCACAGCUUAUCAAAAUACUGCACUUGGACGGACAAUUUUGGGACCAACUGAAAAUAUCAAAUCUAUAAGUCGUAAGGACUUAGUGGAUUAUAUAACCACACAUUAUAAGGGGCCAAGAAUAGUGCUUGCUGCUGCUGGAGGUGUUUCCCAUGAUGAAUUGCUUGACUUAGCAAAGUUUCAUUUCGGUGACUCUUUAUGCACACACAAAGGAGAAAUACCAGCUCUGCCUCCCUGCAAAUUCACAGGAAGUGAGGUAGGGCAAGCCUUCCAGCUAAUGCCUUUGGCGCACCUUGCAAUAGCUGUUGAAGCUGUUGGUUGGGCACAUCCAGAUACAAUCUGUCUCAUGGUUGCAAACACGCUGAUUGGCAACUGGGAUCGCUCUUUUGGGGGAGGAAUGAAUUUAUCUAGCAAGCUGGCCCAGCUCACUUGUCAUGGCAAUCUUUGCCAUAGCUUUCAGUCUUUCAACACUUCCUACACAGAUACAGGAUUAUGGGGACUGUAUAUGGUUUGUGAAUCAUCCACUGUUGCAGACAUGCUACAUGUUGUUCAAAAAGAAUGGAUGCGACUCUGUACAAGUGUCACAGAAAGUGAGGUUGCACGAGCCAGAAAUCUUCUGAAAACAAACAUGUUGUUGCAGCUUGAUGGUUCAACUCCAAUUUGUGAAGAUAUUGGUAGGCAAAUGUUAUGCUAUAAUAGAAGGAUUCCCAUCCCUGAGCUUGAAGCAAGAAUUGAUGCUGUGAAUGCUGAGACAAUUCGAGAAGUAUGUACCAAAUACAUUUAUAAUAGGAGUCCAGCUAUUGCUGCUGUUGGUAAGCCUGGCUUCUUUUCUUCUAUGCAAAAAGUUGGCCAAGUACUUUUAAUUAACUCUUCUUUUUAAUCCUUAGGUCCCAUUAAGCAACUACCAGAUUUUAAACAGAUACGCAGUAACAUGUGUUGGCUUCGUGAUUAAAAUGCUCCUAAUCAAGAUUGUUUGAACACAUGUAUUUAUAAAACAGAGCUAGAGAAAAAUAAAAAUGAACAUGUAUAUACAUUUGGAAAUUUGAAUUAAAUACUGUAUCAUACUUUCAAA